CUAAGGGUUAUUUGAUAGAAUAAAUCAAGUAUUUUAUAUACUCUUAUUA
rnacentral:tRNA from 1 species